AGUAAAAAAAAUGCAAAUACCAUGAAAAUUGAAAUUUAAAAAAAAAUAUAGGAAGAAGACACGGUUAAAUACUAUUUUGGACUGGCUACAAAACACAACGGUGAACGGAGAGAUAAAAGGUCGGAGUAUUCGUAAAGAAAAGAAAGAAUGGCACAAACCGACUGGAUUCGUAUUGCUCCCGAUGGGGUUCCAUGAUGUACUGACAAUGACUAAAAAAAAUAUCAGAUGAAAGAGAAAAAAUCAUUGAACAAUCGAAAGUGAAGUUAAUUGAAAUGAUCAGCAGACAGAAGUAAAAAGGAAGAGAUCAAAGAGAGAAUUAGAAGCAAGAAG